UGCUACUGACCAUUCCUGCUCUGUCUCUCGGGCUGGAGGAAGUCAGAUUGUGCAACUCCCUCUUCCUUUAUAGAAAAGCCCCAAAGUGCUUCACCUCUGUAGGAACAAUGGGUUGGCCAGAGCCUGAGGCUGUGUGUGUGUGCGUGUGCGGCAGCAGCACUGGACAGUGUGGAAGAGCAGAAAAGAAAUGUCUGCACCAGAAAAAACUGAGCCCAAGACCCCUGGAAAUAAAACUUCAGAGCCUCCACAUCUCCUUGUUUGCUUCUGAGAAUUUAUGCUGUUGUAUACAGAUGGAGAGAAAGUAAUAAAUAUUACUUCUAUGUGCAUCGCAUACAUGGAGAGACAUGCAUGACGGUGAUAGCCAACCAGGAGCAAAUGCUGCACAAGGUAACCUUCUCGGAACUACGGUAUGGCUUAAGAGAUUUCCUUUGUCGUUUUUAAGUGGGUCUUACAUGGUCCAGACUGGCUUUGAGCACACCAUGUACCUCUGCUUCUUACCUUCCUGCCUCUACUUCCCAAGUGCUGGGAUCACGGGUAUCUAUCACCAGACCUGGUCUACUGGAUAGUGGGAAUCAAAGUCAGAUUUCCUUCAUGCUAAGUAGGUACUCUGAAAACUGAGUGAUGGACCCAGCCCAGAAAAUUCUCUUAGGUUUCAUCCUCUUUGAUGCAAAUGACCAGCUUAGGUCUCAGAAGGAGAGGUAGAGGGACAAGUCCCUUUCUGAAAUGGAGGCACUUGUAUCCAACUGAAGAAUGCAUUUCGGAAGACUUUUUCACUGGGUUGUUCUUUGACUCAGCCAGUUUCUUGAGCAUCUACUUUGUGAUCAGGCUCAUACCCUGGUCUGGGUGGGCACUAAACCCCACCAGCUCCACAGGGAAAGCACACACGGUAUAGUAGGCAUCUGGGAAGAACAGAAGGAAAUCCCUAAUCCAGCUCAGAGCAAGAGGGAGUCAAGGAGGGCUUUCUGGAGGUGGCAGCUUCUAAAUUGAGUCUUCAAGGAUUGAGAAGUCAGACAAAUGCAAAACUCACAAAACUGUGGAAAAAGUUUCACCUGGGCAGAGUCACAGCUCUGUGUGUGGGGUGUCAAGCCUUUUGGGGCUCUGACACAAAACACAAGAGACAAGCCAAAGCUACAGAGUGAGGUUGGCACCAGGGCAGAACAGGCCUUUUGUACCAUUUCUGAGACAGGUGGAAGAGGGGUUUUAAAACAGCUAUGUCACUUACCUGCGG